UGGAUUCUAAGUUUUAAGGUCAAGGAUAUUUAAAUAAUUUUCAUUCUCAAAACUAAAAAAAGAAACCCCAAACCCUUACUCACCUCCAUCGUUCCUCUCAACCCUUUCUCUUUCAUCUCCUCUCACUCCAACAUAUUUUCUGUCAUUCCUAUUGCCCCAAUUGAAAAAAAAAAAUCAGAAACCCUUGCCUAACCCUUGUCCUUU
rnacentral:lncRNA from 1 species